AUGAAGUUGGAAUUGCUAGUAAUGGCAGGUCAGCAUACUGCCGUGAAUACGUUCCCGGGCCUUGUACACACCGCCCGUCACACCAUGAGAGUUGGAGAUACCCGAAGCCUGUGAGCUAACUUUUAGAGGCAGCAGUCGAAGGUAGAAUCAAUGAUUGGGGUGAAGUCGUAACAAGGUAUC
rnacentral:rRNA from 1 species